rnacentral:rRNA from 1 species
AUUGAACGCUGGCGGCAGGCCUAGCACAUGCAAGUCGAGCGGAUGAAGGGAGCUUGCUCCUGGAUUCAGCGGCGGACGGGUGAGUAAUGCCUAGGAAUCUGCCUGGUAGUGGGGGAUAUCGUCCGGAAACGGGCGCUAAUACCGCAUACGUCCUGAGGGAGAAAGUGGGGGAUCUUCGGACCUCACGCUAUCAGAUGAGCCUAGGUCGGAUUAGCUAGUUGGUGGGGUAAAGGCCUACCAAGGCGACGAUCCGUAACUGGUCUGAGAGGAUGAUCAGUCACACUGGAACUGAGACACGGUCCAGACUCCUACGGGAGGCAGCAGUGGGGAAUAUUGGACAAUGGGCGAAAGCCUGAUCCAGCCAUGCCGCGUGUGUGAAGAAGGUCUUCGGAUUGUAAAGCACUUUAAGUUGGGAGGAAGGGCAGUAAGUUAAUACCUUGCUGUUUUGACGUUACCAACAGAAUAAGCACCGGCUAACUUCGUG